rnacentral:rRNA from 1 species
UACGUAGGGGGCAAGCGUUGUCCGGAGUUACUGGGCGUAAAGCGCACGCAGGCGGUCUUUUAAGUUUGGAGUGACAGUUGGUGGCUUAACUGCCAAAAGUGCUUCGAAAACUGAGAGACUUGAGGGCUUCAGAGGGACACGGAAUUCCGGGUGGAGUGGUGAAAUGCGUAGAGAUCCGGAGGAACACCAAAGGCGAAGGCAGUGUCCUGGGGAGUACCUGACGCUCAGGUGCGGAAAGCCAGGGGAGCGAACGGG